GCCUUGUCAGCUCUGAGCUGGGAGGGGAGAGGAGAAAGGAGGAAGCCUCCUGACCUCGGAGCCUCCAGUCAGGACUGGCUGGCUCUGCUCCGUAUGCCGAAAGCCCUGGGAAUUUUUCACUGCUCUCGGGAUGGCGUCUGGGGCGUGGGCAGGUUGGUCCCGCUUUGAACGCUCUGCUGGACUUACGGAGCUGCUCUUAGUGCUGGGCAGUGAACGCCAAGCUGUCGUGUCCACACGGCCAGGGGAACGCCAGGGCCAAGGCCAGCAUGCGCUGAGCUUCUGCCCAGCCUGGAGUCGCCUUCACCAGGCCAUGAGCACGUGAGGCACUUUCUAAGCACUGGUUGCCCGGGAGGCGCAACUGCUCAGACGCCGAGGCAGCUCAAAGGGCUCCGACGUGCGGUGGCUCCACGGGGUCAGCGUGCCCAGAGUAAUGGGUGUCACUAGAGCACCUGGCCCAGCACACGCUUUCUGAGGACACCUGGUGGGCGCGCCCCACAGCAGGCCCCAAAGUUUCAGAGUAGGUCCUGUGGAGUACUUGCUGCCUGGGGGAGGCCCUUCCUCAGGGAGUGUCCAGCAGAGGGAAGAGCAGACCACGCUCUGGAAGGUCCAAGCCGAUCAUGCACGAGUCAACAGUGCUCCCACUGCCGGGCCAGCCCCUCUUCCCCACCCGAGGCCACCACUCUGCUGAAAUGAAGGUUCUUGAAUAGCAAGAAGGAAGGCAGAAGUUGGACACUGGAUCCUUCUGGGUUGUGGAUGUGGAUGAGCUAGCUGUGGGCCCCUUUCCCUCUCCCUGUCCUACUUCUGCUGUGCCAGCCCCACAGCUGCUCAGUCCCCUCCCUGGUGGUGGGUACUGUCCCGGGACAGCCAGUUGGUCCUCUCCUUCCCGUUGGCAAUUCUGGCUUUCCGGCAUUCCACACCACCGGCCCAGCCCCUGGGGCUUGGCGGAGGCAGUGUUCCUGCUAGCUCUUCUCUUUGGGCGGAGGAGCCCCAGCACCGCAGGAGAUGGGAGGCAGUGCAGAGACUCGCCUGAGUGCUGAGGGUGGCGGGGCCUGUCUCUGUCCCCUCUCGGGGACCUGUCCCUCUCCUGGACCACGGAUAUUGAUCUGAGGCAAACAUCUAAUUCCCACUUCCCCAGAACAUCCCCCAACUGAACAAAAAUCAGUGACACUUCAGGAAAGAAAAGGUGGUAUUUAGUGGCGGUCCCCACACUGCCCCUCCCAGGACUGUUUUCUAAGCCCACGUGAGAUCUCUCCUGAUCCCUUUGAGGUCUUAAUACAAGAGCCGGGCCUACGGGUGGGAGAGUCUGGAUUCUGUCCUGGCCUUGCCAUGCUUCCUGGCUUCAUGACCUUGUUCAAGUCACUUAAACCUCUGUCUGGCUUUUACAACCAUCAAACCAUCUACCCUCCAGGUGCUCCACAAGGACUGACUCCACCCCGGGCACUGUGUCGGCACUGGAAACAUGAAACCCGAGCUGGGAGCCAGACAGGGGUUCUUCCUGAGAGCCUGGGAAGCCGCCUGCCCUCGUGGAAUUUACGGUCUAAGGAGUGAUGCACGUGAGGCACUUUGAAAGAUGUGAAGGACUGUGUGUAAAACAUGUGCCAAUUUCUCGCUUCGCAGAAGGAAUUUCCACUGCUUUCUCAGUUAAGUGUCAAGAACCUCCAAAAGAGAUGGUUCAAGAGAGCUAUAUUAUUGAAUCAGAUUAUGUUCUUUACACAUUUUAGCAUAGCUCACAAAACCAUAUGAAUGUUUCUGUUUUGAAUAUUCUCUUCCUAAAUGUUUUACAUCCUGUGGGGAGGGGCUUGGAUUCUGAUUCUGUGUUUAAAUCCUACAAGCAGGCCGGGUGCGUAGCUCACACCUAUAAUCCCUGCACUUUGGGAGGCUGAGGCGGGCAGAUCAUGAGGUCAGGAGUUUGAGACCAGCCUGACCAACAUAGUGAAACCCCGUCUCUAUUGAAAAUACGAAAAUUAGCCGGGUGUGGUGGUGGGUGCCUGUAGUUCCAGCUACUCGGGAGGCUGAGGCAGGAGAAUUGCUUGAACCAGAGAGUUGGAGAUUGCAGUGCCGCUGCACUCCAGCCUGGGCAACAGAGCGAGACUCCCUCUCAAACAAAAUAAAACAAAAAACAUCCUACAAGUGUCAAGCAUGGUGGUGCACACCUGUAGUCCCAGCUACUCUGGAGGCUGAGGUGGGAGGAUCACUUGAGCCCAGUUCAAGACCAGCCUAGGCAACAUAGUGAGACCCUGUCUCUAAAAAUAAAAUUAAAAAGGCGGCCGGGUGCAGUUGCUCACGCCUGUAAUCCCAGCAAUUUGGGAGGCAGAGGCAGGUGGAUCAUGAGGUCAGGAGAUCGAGACCAUCCUGGCCAACAUGGUGAAACCCAGUCUCUACUAAAAAUACAAAAAUUAGCUGGGUGUGGUGGUGCAUGCCUGUAAUCCCAGCUACUCGGGAGGCUGAGGCAGGAGAAUCGCUUGAACCUGGGAGGCUGAGGUUGCAGUGAGCCAAGAUCAUGCCACUGCACUCCAGCCUGGGUGACAGGGCAAGACUCUGUCUCCAAAAAUAAAAAAAUAAAAAAAAAUAAACAAAUAAAAAUAAAAAGCCAAGUAUGGUGGCUCACACCUGUAAUCCCAGCACUUUGGGAGGCGGAAGCCGGCAGAUUGCUUGAGCUCAGAGGUUCAAGACCAGCCUGGGCAACAUGGUGAAUUACUGUCUCUACAAAAAAAAAAAUUAAAAAGUAGCUGGGUGUGGUGGCAUGGGCCUGUAGUCCUAGCUACUUGGGAGACUGAGGUGGAAGAAUCGCUGGAGCCUGGGAGGCGGAGGCUGCAGUGAGCCGAGACUGAGCCACCACACUCCAGCCUGAGUGACAGAGCAAGACCCCAUCUUUGAAAAAUAAAAAAUAAAAUAAAAAUAAAAAAUAAACAACCCUACAAGUUUAAUGGAGCAUUCACACCACAUGUACUGGUCUCCACUUUCAGAAUGCAAGGUCCUGGCGGGGAGGGGAGGCGUCUUACACAGCUGCAUGCGUGGUGCUGCCCUGCACACAGGAGAUGCUCCCAGGUGCUGAUGGGCAACACUGGCUGGGCCACAGGUUCUGGACGUGCUGGGGCCGCGUAAGGCUGCAGGCCUCAGUCCAUCUGCUGUGUAAAUGGCUCUCUCCCAGUAACACAACUUCAUCUGCUCACUUCAUCAACUUCGCACACUCACUGCAGCCUCAUGAAUGAGGAAGACAAUGGGCACAACUGGUCAAGAGCCUCCUGGGAUGGAGACUCACCCAGUCCAUGAAGUUCCUUCUAAACACAAAGUGGCCAGAUACCUGUGAACCAGACCUGGGAAGGAGGUCUGCUCCUUAGCAGAGAGAUACUCUGUUUUGCCGCCUUAAGUGACAGUUGCCUGGGUUACUACUUUUUUCCUUGGCACAGACCUGGGCAGCCCUGGCCUGCCUGACUCCCAGCCUGUUUGUGUGGUGCUGCUGUGACGUUUGGGCAGAAGAGGGGGUUGAGUGACUACGUGUGUUGAGCUCACCACCGAACAACAAGGGCAAGAAGAACCAGCCUUCUGCUCUGAAGUUCGGCUGAGCACUGCCCAGCUGACGCCAUCUACACACUGCCAUCAGCAGAUAACGAAGUCAGAAAAUGUGGAUUGAGGGGCCAGGCGCAGUGGCUCACGCCGGUAAUCCCAGCACUUUGGGAGGCCGAGGUGGGUGGAUCAUGAGGUCAGGAGAUCGAGACCAUCCUGGCCAACAUGGUGAAACCCCAUCUCUACUAGAAAUACACAAAAAAAUUAGCCGGGCAUGGUGGUGGGCACCUGUAGUCCCAGCUACUCGGGAGGCUG
ensembl:lncRNA novel transcript, antisense MYO1D